UCUAGAUGAUGCAUUUCAUUA
rnacentral:snRNA from 1 species